rnacentral:rRNA from 1 species
UACGUAGGGUGCAAGCGUUGUUCGGAAUUACUGGGCGUAAAGCGCGCGUAGGCGGGUUGGAAAGUCGAUUGUGAAAGCCCUAGGCUUAACCUGGGAAUUGCAGUCGAAACUCCCAAUCUUGAGUGCCUGAGAGGAUGGCGGAAUUCCCGGUGUAGUAGUGAAAUACGUAGAUAUCGGGAGGAACACCGGUGGCGAAGGCGGUUCUCUGGGCCUUACCUGACGCUGAGGAGCGAAAGCGUGGGGAGCGAACAGG